GACGAACCGUGCAACCGUUAUUCGGAAUCACUGGGCUUAAAGGGCGCGUAGGCGGGCAGGCAAGUCAGGGGUGAAAGCCCACGGCUCAACCGUGGAAGCGCCUUUGAUACUGCCGGUCUCGAGGGAGGUAGGGGCGUGCGGAACUUCCGGUGGAGCGGUGAAAUGCGUAGAUAUCUGGAGGAAUACCGGUGGCGAAGGCGGCAUCCUGGACCGACAUUGACGCUGAUGAGCGAAAGCUAGGGGAGCAAACGGG
rnacentral:rRNA from 1 species